rnacentral:rRNA from 1 species
AUACGGAGGGUGCAAGCGUUAAUCGGAAUUACUGGGCGUAAAGCGCGCGUAGGCGGUUCGGUAAGUGGGAUGUGAAAGCCCCGGGCUUAACCUGGGAAUUGCAUUCCAAACUGCCGGACUAGAGUAUGGUAGAGGGAGGUAGAAUUUCCUGUGUAGCGGUGAAAUGCGUAGAUAUAGGAAGGAAUACCGGUGGCGAAGGCGGCCUCCUGGACCAAUACUGACGCUGAGGUGCGAAAGCGUGGGGAGCAAACAGGAUUAGAUACCCCAGUAGUCC